UACGUAGGGGGCAAGCGUUGUCCGGAAUCAUUGGGCGUAAAGCGCGCGUAGGCGGCCCGGUAAGUCCGUUGUGAAAGUCAAAGGCUCAACCUUUGAACGCCGAUGGAUACUGCCGGGCUAGAGUCCGGAAGAGGCGAGUGGAAUUCCUGGUGUAGCGGUGGAAUGCGCAGAUAUCAGGAAGAACACCCGUGGCGAAGGCGGCUUUCUGGGACGGUACUGACGCUGAGACGCGAAAGCGUGGGGAGCGAACAGG
rnacentral:rRNA from 1 species